GACGAACGCUGGCGGCGUGCUUAACACAUGCAAGUCGAACGGAAAGGCCCUGCUUUUGUGGGGUGCUCGAGUGGCGAACGGGUGAGUAACACGUGAGUAACCUGCCCUUGACUUUGGGAUAACUUCAGGAAACUGGCGCUAAUACCGGAUAGGAGCUCCUGCUGCAUGGUGGGGGUUGGAAAGUUUCGGCGGUUGGGGAUGGACUCGCGGCUUAUCAGCUUGUUGGUGGGGUAGUGGCUUACCAAGGCUUUGACGGGUAGCCGGCCUGAGAGGGUGACCGGCCACAUUGGGACUGAGAUACGGCCCAGACUCCUACGGGAGGCAGCAGUGGGAAAUAUUGCACAAUGGGCGGAAGCCUGAUGCAGCAACGCCGCGUGCGGGAUGACGGCCUUCGGGUUGUAAACCGCUUUCGCCUGUGACGAAGCGUGAGUGACGGUAAUGGGUAAAGAAGCACCGGCUAACUACGUG
rnacentral:rRNA from 1 species